UACGUAGGGUGCGAGCGUUGUCCGGAAUCAUUGGGCGUAAAGCGCGCGUAGGCGGCCCCGUAAGUCCGCUGUGAAAGUCAAAGGCUCAACCUUUGAAAGCCGGUGGAAACUGUGGGGCUAGAGUCCGGAAGAGGCGAGUGGAAUUCCUGGUGUAGCGGUGGAAUGCGCAGAUAUCAGGAGGAACACCAGCGGCGAAGGCGGCGCUCUGGGCCGGAACUGACGCUGAGGAGCGAAAGCGUGGGUAGCAAACAGG
rnacentral:rRNA from 1 species